UUUCUUUCCUAUACUCCCCGAACUCACCCAAUCUUGUCUGUCUCGGAAGCUAAGCAGGGUCAGGCCUGGCUAAUAUUUGGAUGGGAGACAAAC
ensembl:rRNA 5S_rRNA 5S ribosomal RNA